CCUACGGGUGGCAGCAGUGAGGAAUAUUGGUCAAUGGCCGAGAGGCUGAACCAGCCAAGUCGCGUGAGGGAAGACGGCCCUACGGGUUGUAAACCUCUUUUGUCGGGGAGCAAAGAGAGUCACGUGUGACUCAUUGAGAGUACCCGAAGAAAAAGCAUCGGCUAACUCCGUGCCAGCAGCCGCGGUAAUACGGAGGAUGCGAGCGUUAUCCGGAUUUAUUGGGUUUAAAGGGUGCGCAGGCGGAGGUGCAAGUCAGCGGUCAAAUUGCGGGGCUCAACCCCGUACUGCCGUGGAAACUGCAUGCCUUGAGUGCGCGAGAAGUAUGCGGAAUGCGUGGUGUAGCGGUGAAAUGCAUAGAUAUCACGCAGAACCCCGAUUGCGAAGGCAGCAUACCGGCGCGCAACUGACGCUCAUGCACGAAAGCGUGGGUAUCGAACAGGAUUAGAUACCCCUGUAGUC
rnacentral:rRNA from 1 species